rnacentral:rRNA from 1 species
AACGAACGCUGGCGGCAGGCUUAACACAUGCAAGUCGAACGGUUGUAGCAAUACAGCAGUGGCGCACGGGUGAGUAACGCGUGGAUAUCUGCCUUUUGGUUCGGAAUAACUCCGGGAAACUGGAGCUAAUACCGGAUGGUUCCUGCGGGAUAAAGAUUUAUCGCCAAAAGAUGAGUCCGCGUACGAUUAGCUAGUUGGUGAGGUAAUGGCUCACCAAGGCGACGAUCGUUAGCUGGUCUGAGAGGACGAUCAGCCACACUGGGACUGAGACACGGCCCAGACUCCUACGGGAGGCAGCAGUGGGGAAUAUUGGACAAUGGGGGCAACCCUGAUCCAGCCAUGCCGCGUGAGUGAUGAAGGCCUUCGGGUUGUAAAGCUCUUUUGGCGGGGACGAUGAUGACGGUACCCGCAGAAUAAGCCCCGGCUAACUUCGUG